CGUGGUGAUGUCACACACGAUUCUAUUACCUGUGGGAUCUGAUCAAGUGUUGUAUUGAUGAAAAGCAGAACGAUGUACGCGUGCAGCGUGUUAGACUGAGGC
rnacentral:sRNA from 2 species